rnacentral:lncRNA from 1 species
AAGCACAGCAAGGUCUCAUUUUUAUUAAAAUGGUUAUGUAUUUAGGUUUGUGUACCCACAGUAAAUGCCAGUAGAAACACACCACACACCACAUGAUCAGUUUUUAUUCUGUGGAGAGUAUAAUGAAACGGGGAAUGGAUCACUGCUCUUUUACUUCACACACUCCUGUAAUUCUGUUUGUUCCUAAUUAUGCGCAGUCUACUUUUAGAUAAGUAUGUGAGUGAACACACAGCUAGGCUCUAACCCACCCAUAAAA